rnacentral:rRNA from 1 species
CCCUUAGAUGUUCUGGGCCGCACGCGCGCUACACUGAUGCAUUCAACGAGUUCUACCUUGGCCGAGAGGCCUGGGCAAUCUUUUGAACUUGCAUCGUGAUAGGGAUAGAUUAUUGCAAUUAUUAAUCUUGAACGAGGAAUUCCUAGUAAACGCAGUUCAUCAAACUGCAUUGAUUACGUCCCUGCCCUUUGUACACACCGCCCGUCGCACCUACCGAUUGAAUGGUCCGGUGAAGCCUCGAGAUUGUGGUUAGUUUCCUUUAUUGGAAGUUAGCCGCGAGAACUUGUCUAAACCUUAUCAUUUAGAGGAAGGUGAAGUCGUAACA